rnacentral:rRNA from 1 species
AGCAGCCGCGGUAAUUCCAGCUCCAAUAGCGUAUAUUAAAGUUGUUGCAGUUAAAAAGCUCGUAGUUGAAUUUCGGGGUUAGUAGGUUGGUCGUGCCACUGGUACGUACUGGUCUCACUGACUCCUCCUUCCUGAUGAACUGUAAUGCCAUUAAUUUGGUGUUGCGGGGAAACUGGACUGUUACUUUGAAAAAUUGAGUGUUUAAAGCAAGCUAACGCUUGAAUACAUUAGCAUGGAAUAAUGAAAUAGGACGUUCGAUCCUAUUUUGUUGGUUUCUAGGAUUGACGUAAUGAUUAAUAGGGAUAGUUGGGGCAUUAGUAUUCAAUUGUCAGAGGUGAAAUU